UACAGGGGGUGCAAACGUUGCUCGGAAUUAUUGGGCGUAAAGCGUGCGCAGGCGGUUUUGUAAGUCUGUCGUGAAAGCCCCGGGCUCAACCUGGGAAUUGCGAUGGAGACUGCAAGGCUUGAAUCUGGCAGAGGGGGGUAGAAUUCCACGUGUAGCAGUGAAAUGCGUAGAGAUGUGGAGGAACACCGAUGGCGAAGGCAGCCCCCUGGGUCAAGAUUGACGCUCAUGCACGAAAGCGUGGGGAGCAAACAGG
rnacentral:rRNA from 1 species